UACACGGUUUAGAAUAUUUCUAUAUUGUUAGUAAGGUUUUAUGGGAUGUUUUAGAGCAUUCCUUAAAUUCUCUUUAGGGUUUUCUGGUUUGUACCCUAUAUUAUAUUGGCAGACAUUGAACAUAUAAUAAGAUUAACUAAGAAGGAGUCUCUCGAAGUACCGGCAAACUAUACCAAUAGAGUCUGACCCUUUAUCAGAGAGUGUAAUGAGCUUAUUUUGUUGAUGUGGGUUCCGUAACGCUGCUAACACGGGACCAAGGCCAGCGCACAAACCAGCAGGUUACAAUGGACGCCGCCACCAUCAAAGAGCAGAUUCACUCAUGAACCUUUUACUAAUGGGCUAACUCAUUCCCAAAAGCUAGCUCAAAGAAGGAGGUUUGCCUCACACUAUAUAUAUUGCUCAAGGAUUUAGUUUUGUUCCGAUGUGCGACUCUAACAGAACCAGCCAGUAGUUCAAAAACCGUCUAUUGCAGUACCAUCCAUUUCAGUAGAUGAGUUGAAAAUAUUAACCGAUAAAUAUAGUUCAAAGGCAUCAAUUGCAGGUUCAGAUGGACAACUGUUUUACGGUGUUCUUAAAAUCCCUAAAGCUGCUACCAUCAAGAAACUUGAUGACCCUAGUAAGCAGACAGAUGGAGUAUUUCUUUUUCCCAGGUGAAGCUUUAUGAUCCAAAAAAAAAGGAAGAAGCUAAGGCAUUACUAGACAAAGGGUGUCGAGCUUGGUGAUUUCAGGUGAGGUGAAUGAAAGUCAUAGUUUAGUUGCUUUCGCUUAAGAGAAGAGUGGAAGAGUUUGGUGCUUGAAGGUGAAGUGAAGGAAGAGUAUUUAUAGUGUAUAGUUAAGA